GAUGAACGCUGGCGGCGUGCCUCAAACAUGCAAGUCGAGCGGGGCUAUGUAAUAUCGCAAGGUAGAACAUAGCCUAGCGGCGAACGGGUGAGUAACACGUGGGUAACCUGCCUGGAAGACAGGGAUAACGAUUCGAAAGGGUCGCUAAUACCUGAUAAUAUCCUUUCAUCGCAUGGUGAUAGGAAGAAAGGGGAAACCCGCUUUCAGAUGGGCCCGCGUCCCAUCAGCUAGUUGGUAAGGUAAAGGCUUACCAAGGCGACGACGGGUAGCCGGUCUGAGAGGAUGUACGGCCACACUGGGACUGAGAUACGGCCCAGACUCCUACGGGAGGCAGCAGUUGGGAAUCUUAGGCAAUGGACGAAAGUCUGACCUAGCGACGCCGCGUGAGGGAAGAAGGCCUUCGGGUUGUAAACCCUGUCAUGGGGAAGAAGGAAGUGACGGUACCCCAAGAGGAAGCCCCUGCUAACUACGUG
rnacentral:rRNA from 1 species